GUGAAGGUGUUUCUGGAAAAGAUUAAUAUUUGAAUCAGUAGACUGAGUAAAGAAGAUCUGCCCUAAACAAUGUAGGUGGCCACAUCAACAAAUAUUGUGAAAGAGUUGGUUGAGAUAUAUAUAAACACUUGAAGAAGGGGUAAUGGACAAGAUAAGUGCAGCAUUCCUAAAAGAAAUUGCAGAGAAAAAAACAGCUAAAAUCUUCAUUUCCCAGACUUCCAUGUACGAGGGCUUCAGGUGUGUUUUAGGAUCUACUAAACGUAUGCAUUCACUGAGAAAUGUGGAAGUGAGUAAGAAGGAGGUGGAGUAUGAGGCAUCCAUUUUCAGAUGGAGAUCACAGUGGAAGUAAUGUGG
rnacentral:lncRNA from 1 species